rnacentral:rRNA from 1 species
GACGAACGCUGGCGGCGUGCUUAACACAUGCAAGUCGAGCGGAGCGGCGAACGGGUGAGUAACGCGGGAGUAACUGACCCCCUCUCUGGGAUAACAGUUGGAAACGGCUGCUAAUACCGGAUAGUGGGGGAUGACUCGCCUCCUAUCAGCUUGUUGGUGGGGUCGUGGCCUACCAAGGGGACGACUGGUAGCCGGCCUGAGGGGGGGACCGGCCACAGUGGGCUGAGAUACGGCCCAAUCUCCUACGUGAGGCAGCAGUGGGGAAUAGUGCACAAUGGUGGAAACCCUGAUGCAGCAACGCCGCGUGCGGGAUGACGGCCUUCGGGUUGUAAGCCGCUUUCAGCCAUGACGCGGUAGUGGCAGAAGAAGCACCGGCUAACUACGUGCCAGCAGCCGCGGUAAUUC